rnacentral:rRNA from 1 species
GAUGAACGCUGGCGGCGUGCCUAAUACAUGCAAGUCGAGCGAACAGACGAGGAGCUUGCUCCUCUGACGUUAGCGGCGGACGGGUGAGUACCACGUGGAUAACCUACCUAUAAGACUGGGAUAACUUCGGGAAACCGGACCUAAUACCGGAUAAUAUAUUGAACCGCAUGGUUCAUUAGUGAAAGACGGUUUUGCUGUCACUUAUAGAUGGAUCCGCGCCGCAUUAGCUAGUUGGUAAGGUAACGGCUUACCAAGGCAACGAUGCGUAGCCGACCUGAGAGGGUGAUCGGCCACACUGGAACUGAGACACGGUCCAGACUCCUACGGGAGGCAGCAGUAGGGAAUCUUCCGCAAUGGGCGAAAGCCUGACGGAGCAACGCCGCGUGAGUGAUGAAGGUCUUCGGAUCGUAAAACUCUGUUAUUAGGGAAGAACAAAUGUGUAAGUAACUAUGCACGUCUUGACGGUACCUAAUCAGAAAGCCACGGCUAACUACGUG